rnacentral:misc_RNA from 1 species
GAUGAAGGACGUAGCAAAAUGCGAUAAGUAAUGUGAAUUGCAGAAUUCAGUGAAUCAUCGAAUCUUUGAACGCACAUUGCGCCCGCUGGUAUUCCGGCGGGCAUGCCUGUUCGAGCGUCAUUUCAACCCUCAAACCCCCGGGUUUGGUGUUGGGGAUCGGCUCUGCCUCACGGCGGUGCCGCCCCCGAAAUACAUUGGCGGUCUCGCUGCAGCCUCCAUUGCGUAGUAGCUAACACCUCGCAACUGGAACGCGGCGCGGCCAUGCCGUAAAACCCCAACUUCUGAAUGUUGACCUCGGAUCAGGUAGGAAUACCCGCUGAACUUAAGCAUAUCAAUAAGCGGAGGA